UAGACAAUAAAAUAUGUUGACUUGAGGAGGAACAUAUUUACUAGUUAUAUCAUCGGCAAUUGCCUGAAUCUCAAGACGUUCUUCGAACCAAUCAUAGAUUUUAUUGAGAUAGGUAAAUGACGGAGAAUCCCCCCCGGAGAACCGUAUAUGAAAAUUUCAUCUCAUACGGCUCAAAACAGAAACACACAAAUACUAGNNNNNNNNNNUUCUAACGGAUGUGUGUAAUAGAAAGUUUUAAAUUUCUUAAUUCUAUGAUUCAUUUUUUCUGAAGAUACGAAAGAAUAAAAAUCCGAAAACUCCUCUUUGUGGUUAUAAUGCCAAAAAAUCAAGACGGCUCAUUCGUCUAUAUUCUAUAUAUUGAUCGUUAUAGGCCUCUUGAAUCUUCUAUUUACCUAUUUUAUUUGUUGUUAUUUAUGUGUAGUGCGGCUUUACUGCUGUUUUCUUUAUUAUUGAUAGGAAUUAUCUUGUUAAGACCCUAUUAAUUGAUUAAAACCUCAGAUUCAUACUAGAACCACGAUGAUUCAAUAAAACCCUUUCAAACUAAGUCCCAAAAUUCCCUGAGUAAGAACCGUUGGAUCAUCACUUAUUCAAUGAAUAGAUAUAAUGACUAAAAAUCCAAAGAAACCUUUGUCCUUUGAUCAAAAUAAGCCUAAACGAAAGUUUAGUUUGAAAAAAAAAAA
rnacentral:lncRNA from 1 species